rnacentral:rRNA from 1 species
UACGAAGGGGGCUAGCGUUGUUCGGAAUUACUGGGCGUAGAGGGCGCGUAGGCGGUCCUGAUCGUCGGAUGUGAAAGGCCUGGGCUCAACCUGGGAACUGCAUCCGAUACGGCGGGACUGGAGUGUGGGAGAGGUUGGUGGAAUUCCCAGUGUAGAGGUGAAAUUCGUAGAUAUUGGGAAGAACACCGGUGGCGAAGGCGGCCAACUGGACCACAACUGACGCUGAGGCGCGAAAGCGUGGGGAGCAAACAGG